UUACUUAAAUAGCUUAUAUAGAGUGUGACAUUGAAGAUGUUAGGGAAAUAGUUAUAUUUUUAAGUAA
rnacentral:tRNA from 1 species